rnacentral:rRNA from 1 species
AUUACAUAAACUUGGGAUAUAAAAUACUUUUCUAUCUAAUAAAAACAUUAACAAAUUUAGUAAAGGUGAUUAAAACUUAUUAUUAAUCUCAAUUAAAGUACUGCAAAGGAAUUAAAUAAUUACAAAAAAGAAAAAAUGAAACCUUGUACCUUUCGCAUCAUGGUUUAACUAGAUUUAUAUUUGUAUAUCCAAAUUCUCGAAAUUUAAUGAGCUAUUUUUGUCCUUAUAUUAGUAAUAGAGACUAAUUGUAGCAAAAAUUUUCUAAGAGAUAAAAAUAGAAAUGAAAUUUUUUUCGCAUUAAAUGAUAGCUAGUUCUUUCAAAAAAGUAUUUAAGUACCUUAGAUCAAGUUUUUAUAUGUGCCACCUAUACUAAACAAAAUUUGAUCUAAACAACUUUUUGAGGAUAAGCUCAAAAAGCAGUUAAUUUAUACAUUACAUUUAUUCUUAAACAUAAGCUUGAAAAUAGCUAAAAAUAUAGAAUUUGUUAUAAUUCAUUUUUUAAAAAUAAAUAUAAUUAAUUUGUUUACACCUACGAAAGAAUUACCAAAAAUCACCAUAUGAAUUACAUUUAUGUUAAAAUGAGUAUUACCUAAUAUAUAUAUAUAUACAACUUUUAGAAUUAAACUUAUCUAAAACUUAUUUUUAUAUUCACCAUUAAAAAUUAUUAUGAAGGAACUCGGCAAAACAUAUUCUACCUGUUUAUUAAAAACAUGGCUCCCUGUACCACUAUAAAUAGGGAGUCGGACCUGCCCAGUGAAAAUUUCAACGGCCGCGGUACUCUGACCGUGCAAAGGUAGCAUAAUCAUUUGUCUUUUAAUUGAAGACUAGUAUGAAUGGUUUGAUAAGAAUAUAACUGUCUCCAUAUAACUUAAUAAAAUUUUAUCAUAAGGUGAAGAAGCCUUAAUUAAAUUAAAAGACAAGAAGACCCUAUCGAGCUUCAGAAAAAUUAAUAGAACACAUAAAUAAACAAAUAAAAAAUUAACUAUUAAAUACUUUGGUUGGGGCGACUGAGGAACAAACAAAGCUUCCUUUAAUAUAAAAAACACUCAAGUACUGAUCCAAACAUUUUGAUUAUAGAAAUUAGUUACCGUAGGGAUAACAGCAUUAUCUUUUUUAAGAGCCCUUAUCGAAAAAAAGGUUUGUGACCUCGAUGUUGGACCAGAAUAUCCUAAAGAUGCAGAAGUCUUUAAGGGUUGGUCUGUUCGACCAUUAAAAUUCUACGUGAUCUGAGUUUAGACCGGCGUGAGCCAGGUCAGUUUCUAUCUUUAAUUCUUUUAAUAAAUUUAGUACGAAAGGACCAAUUUAUUACAUAUAAUGUAAAAAACGAAAAAAUAUAACAAAAAAUUAAAAUUUUA